rnacentral:rRNA from 1 species
AUUGAACGCUGGCGGCAUGCCUUACACAUGCAAGUCGAACGGCAGCACGGGAGCAAUCCUGGUGGCGAGUGGCGAACGGGUGAGUAAUAUAUCGGAACGUGCCCGGUCGUGGGGGAUAACGUAGCGAAAGCUACGCUAAUACCGCAUACGAUCUACGGAUGAAAGCGGGGGGAUCGCAAGACCUCGCGCGAUUGGAGCGGCCGAUAUCAGAUUAGGUAGUUGGUGAGGUAAAGGCUCACCAAGCCGACGAUCUGUAGCUGGUCUGAGAGGACGACCAGCCACACUGGGACCGAGACACGGCCCAGACGUCCUACGGGAGGCAGCAGUGGGGAAUUUUGGACAAUGGGCGCAAGCCUGAUCCAGCAAUGCCGCGUGCAGGAUGAAGG